AUUGAACGCUGGCGGCAGGCCUAACACAUGCAAGUCGAGCGAGUGGCGGACGGGUGAGUAAUGUAUGGGAACCUGCCCGAUGGAGGGGGAUAACUACUGGAAACGGUAGCUAAUACCGCAUACUAUCGGGUGGGCCCAUAUGGGAUUAGCUAGUAGGUGGGGUAAAGGCUCACCUAGGCGACGAGGCCUAGCUGGUCUGAGAGGAUGAUCAGCCACACUGGGACUGAGACACGGCCCAGACGCCUACGGGAGGCAGCAGUGGGGAAUAUUGCACAAUGGGCGCAAGCCUGAUGCAGCCAUGCCGCGUGUAUGAAGAAGGCCUUCGGGUUGUAAAGUACUUUCAGCGGGGAGGCGUUACCCGCAGAAGAAGCACCGGCUAACUCCGUGCCAGCAGCCGCGGUAAUUC
rnacentral:rRNA from 1 species